rnacentral:lncRNA from 1 species
ACUGGAGACAGUUGCAGGAUAGAAACUGCUCCUGCUUAAAGCAAAUAUUUUAGGAAUGUCCUUCUCUAUUUUUAUGUCUUUUUUUUUUUUCCAGUGUCUGCUGAGAACUUGAGGACAAGCUUAAACAGGACAAAAGGACAGAUUUUUAAUGUGCGGUGGAAUAUUCUGAACUUCCCAGCUGACACAGAUAAGAUAAGAGUGACAAAUCUGUGGGGGAAAAUUGACAAGCUUUAAGGAUGCCAAGAUACAGUGUGAGAAGCUGCAAAGGAUGUACUCAAACCAGAGCAUCUUUGCACAGUCCUGGGCCAGGGCUUCCUGUUUGCUGCCCAGAAGGUGACUUGGUAGCAACUACACAGAGUUUAACAACUUGAGAAAGAGGUUUCUGCCCCACAGCAGCUGUGUCUCCUGUGCUGCAGAAGCUGCCGUGGAGAAUCAGGAGCAGCAUGAAACAUGAUCUGCAGUUUGAAGCUGGGAGGAGGCAGAGGAGAAGCCCCAGGAGUGAGAGCAGCAGGGAACAGGCACAGACGCAGAACCAAGCAAGACCAGCAGAGCCAGCAAGGUGACAAGAGAUGGAGGAGCAUCCCUGUGGAGACCAUCAGCUGGUCAAGCUGGACAUUUCUCCUGGACAAAGGCAGGACACUGCUCGACCUGUGAGAGAUUUCAGUAAGUAAAAUACAGUUUCACUCUGGGAUCUGUGCAUGAUAUGGAGGAUAAUUUAUCUUCCUUCUUCCUCCUGGGACUGCUAGUGGCAGUUUUUGCAUCAUUUUAGCUCUCCUGACCCAUCUUUGUUCCGUCCCUGUAGACAGUUGAAGGGUCAAAGGCUUCAGCCAAGGGGCGGAACAUCAUCUGUGGUUCUCCUGGUGGAGCAGAUUGGGCAGAAAGGCAGGGACAGAAUAGCCCCACCUACACAUAGCUCAGUGCUGGGGUUACAGUCAGAGACUCCAGGUCUGAUCUUGCAGGGUGCUGGAUCCUGGUGGAGUUUGCAGUGGGAACAGCUCUGCCCCAGCUUGUGGCUUCCAAGUGCUGAAUUGUUUUCUUGUUCUAAUUUAACAUAUGUAUAACACUGAAGUAAUAGAGUGAUCCAUAAGAGCCCAGCAUCAUCUGGGACUGGCACACAGCCUGGCUGUCACACAUCCCUGAGGGAGGAGACAGGCUGAUCCCAGCCCAGGUAAGAGCUGGGGUGUCAGGAAGGGGGAGA